AUGGCAGUGAGCAUCGGCACCGGAGCCAUUAACUCUGUCAUCAGCAAGCUAAACGACCUGCUCGGCGACGAGGUCAGCAGCCUGGUCGGGACAGCCCUGCUCGGGAAGAAAGUCAAGCUUGGUAUCCAGUACCUGAGAAACGAGCUGAGCACCAUGAAAGCGGUGCUGCUCAGGCUCUCGGACAUGGAGGAGCACAUGGACCCGCAGACCAGGGAGUGGAGGGACAGGGUCCGGGAUAUGUCGUUCGAGAUCGAGGACUACAUUGACCGCUUCGUGCAGCGCCGCCGUGGCCAUGGAGGCUCCCAGUCCCGGGGGGUGACGGCCUCGUCAGCAAGGCCAAAUCCGGUCGGCAUUGACGGCCCCCGGGAGAAAAUAUUUGGGUGGCUGGUGGAGCAAGACGCGAAACCAAACGUGGUGGCCAUCUUUGGGAUUGGAGGCUCCGGCAAGACCACUCUGGCCUUGGAGGUGUACAACAAGAUCCAAGAACAGUUUGAUUGCCGGGCUUUCGUCUCCGUUUCUCGGACUCCUGACAUCAAGAGGCUUUUAAAACAUAUCCUCUUUCAAGUCAAUGAAGAAGAGUACUUGAUUAUUGUUGAUGAUAUCUGGAGCACAUCGGCUUGGCAACAUGUGAAAUUUGCCUUACCUAUUGAUAAUAACAAGCGAAGUAGAAUAAUUGCUACAACACGUAGUAAGAAUGUGGCAACGUCAUGCUGUGCUGACAUAGACGGGCAUAUGUAUGAAGCGAAGCUUCUAACUGUUGAUGAUUCCCGCAGUUUAUUCUUUGGAAGAAUCUUUCCUUCAGGCGAAUGUUGUCCCCAAGAAUUGCGGGAAGUAGCAGAUGAAAUUUUGAAGAAAUGUGUUGGUUUGCCAUUGGCCAUAAUCAGUAUAGGAAGUUUAUUAGCCAGCAAAAGUCGAACAGUCAAAGUCUGGUCAAAAAUACGGAAGUCUGUUUCUUCUGCAGUCGAGAAAGAUUGUCCACUUGACCAAAUGAAGAGAAUAUUGCUGCUUAGUUAUCUUGACCUUCCACACCAUUUAAAGGCUUGUUUUUUAUAUCUGAGUGUCUUUCCGGAGGGUUACUACAUUGACAGUAGAUUUUUGAUAUGGAAUUGGAUGGCUGAAGGCUUAAUCGGUGGAGAAAACAGAGAAGAUAUGGAGAGGCUUGGAGAAAGCUAUUUGAAUGAGCUUAUCAAUAGAAGCAUGAUUCAAGCAAGAAAGAUUGGGGCAGAUGGCACAAGAGUGAAAAUCUGCGGAGUCCAUGAUAUUGUGUUGGAUUUUAUUACAUCUCAAGCUGCGGAAGACAAAUUUGUCACUGUGUUGAUAGAUGGUAAAUACCCUUCAUGGAAGAUUCGCUGGCUGUCCCUCCACUUGAACUCUUCUGAAGCUGCAGAUUUGCCAAUAAAGGAUGCAUCGCAUCUUCGGUCACUUAAUAUAUUUGGACCUAGAGGUAAGCAACUGCCUCAAAAUUGUGAAGCUUUGCGAGUGCUGAAUAUAGAAGGCGUUGUGAAGUCUAAGAACUGUCACAUUGAACACAUUGGAAGUUUCUAUCAACUGAAGUACCUGAGGAUCAUUGGUUACCAGAUCACAAGUCCCGACACAACCAUAACCGAGCUUCCGGAACAAAUUGGGAAUCUGCACCAUCUAGAUGUAUUGGAUCUUAGAGGUUAUAGAAUUCUGAAACUACCAGCAACUAUUGUUCAAUUAAAGAAACUAGUGUGCCUUUUUCUGGAUGAAAUCUUUACUCCGCUGCCUGAUGGAAUUGGGAAUCUGCAAUGCCUGGAGGAGCUAUCAGGGAUCAAUCUCUGUAAUGCAUCUGUAAGGUCUGUUGAAGGGCUCGGCGAGCUGACCAAACUAAGGGCGCUGAAGAUUAAAUGGAUUUUAGGUUUUGAUAGGGUUCUCGAUGAGGAAGAUCACAUGAGAGUGUGUGCCUCAACUCUGUCCAAACUCGUUGCAAACAGCCUCCACUCGCUGCACUUCACUGGGAUCAAAAGCUCUGAUUUCUUAAAUUCGUGGGUGUUUCCGAGUGGCUCCUCUCCUCCACCUCUCCGGAGGCUCUUCCUGGAGGGGGUUGGAAAUUUUGAUUUCCCCGCCAUACCAAGCCAGAUCAGAUCCCUCAUAAACCUCACCCGCCUUAGCAUCAGAUAUGUUCGUGAAAUGGGAGAGGAAGGUGUCAAUAUCCUCGGCAGUCUACCCAUGCUGCUCUCUCUUACAAUUCUGCUGCUCUAUACCCAACGCCAGAGUUGUGUCAUCAGCAGCCAAGGAUUCCAGCGUUUAGUGAAGCUGAACUUCCAUGGCGAGACCUGCUUGAUGUUUGAGCCAGGAGCCAUGCCAAAGCUCCAGAGGUUGAAACUAGUUGUGUUCCGAUGGCCAGAGCAGUACAACCCUGGAUUGCUCCACCUCUCAAGCCUCAAGCAUGUCAGUAUCUGGAACUGGAGGCGGGAUCGUGGUGUGGAGGAUUUGAUGGAUGAAAUCAGAAGCGUCCAUCCCAACCAUCCAAUACUGGACAGGAGGGUCUGA
rnacentral:rRNA from 1 species